AAGACUCUAUAUUAAAUCGAUUUUCAGGUAAGACAAAUAGAUAUUUUGAAAUACGAGUGAGAUUCGAUGCAUCGUGAAGGCACUAUCCUGGAUCUCGAAUUAUCGACUCCGCCUACGUCGAUGCAAGGGCGGCGCGGAGACUUUUUGUAAUGCCUUAUUGCACUUUGAGUUAUGAAGUGGGAACAUUUACUGAAGUUAUUAAAAAAAUAAAAUACAA
rnacentral:misc_RNA from 1 species